rnacentral:lncRNA from 1 species
CACAGCACAGUCAAGGCUGACUACCUAAAAAAAAUGCGUUAGGAUAAUCUCCUACAUAACCACUCUUCCAGGCUCCUCCUUUGGUAGCUGUCAGUGACAUGACUAAGUAAUCUCAUGCCAGCCCUGUGUAAACAGCGUGCCAUCACAAGCAGGGAAUUUACCAGCACCCUCCUGGCUGGCUCAGUGGACUAAACCCCUGGAAAUGGGCUACAGUCACUAGAAAUGUCAGGCCAAGCUCAGGUACGCUAUAUGUGGGCAGAAAUAGAGGUCUAGAGGAUGGUGCUCACUCUACAUGAAGGCCAGUUUUGCCCUGGGGCCUGAAACCUAAAUGAAGCAUUAAAUGAAGCAAUGCAUGAUGGCAGAUUGAACAGAUACUAUUCAUGUGUCACGGCUAAAUAGAAGAGAUUGAAUUUUAAGACUGUCUAGUCUUUCCAUGGUAGCUGAACCAUGUAAAGUUGAAAAUUCAAACCAGCCAAAAAAAUCAGAUCCCGUGAUUAGAGGAUUUUUGGAAUGUCAUUUCAGUCAAUAUUGUUCCCCACAAAUUAAGUCUUGCUAGUAGGAUGGAAGCCACCAGACCACUGUCAAAAAGAUAAGAAAUGCCUGCCUUUCCUGGGCCCUUCCUAGAUGGCUGUGACACCGCAGGGAUACUGCAGUCACAGUGUGCCAUGAGAGCAGGAAAUUCACUGCAUCUUGCUUUUGGGGGACAACAAACUUGACUGCAGUGGAGAACACAGGAGAGCUUGGACAACUGCACUUCAGAGAAUAAAACCUGCAUGCCAAGCUCACAAACAGAACUGCCUUUGACUGUCUUUCUGCUGAUAAACACAGCAAAGUGUCCAUCCAUUCUUGCAGUCCCGGGAGUCACUGUAAUGACAAUGUUAUGUGCAACCAAAGCAGCGCCAGGAGGUGCAGACUGGAGUGUGACAGAACAGAAUGUCCCUGAGCAGCAGCUGGUGGCCAGGAAGCUGGGAGCACAUACUCAAGAAAUGCCUCUCGGAACCAAGAGCAGAGAAGCCCUAAGAACCAUCUCUCUGAAAAAGACACCAUGGAGCAGGAAUCUAUGAGUCCCCCUGAGGACUUGUGUAUCCUGGCAUCAGGCACAACUUCUGACAACAAUCUUGCAAACUUGACCAAAAUGGUGAGGGCCAAGCCAACCACUUCCUGCCAUAGACAUCACUGCUGCAUGGGUCUUCAGGGAAAGUGUUGCCCUCCCUUAGAGUCAAUCAACUCCAGGAUAAUUCACUUCUCUCAGUAAUAUGCACAAGAGGACUUGUUUCUUCUUUUUUGGGCCCAUCAUCUAAUUCAAACACCUUCCUACCUCAAACUGACAAAAUGCAGGGCAACUACAGGAAGAUUUCUUGGCCUGUUGCUGUAGGCCUGUUGCUCAUCGUGGGGGCGCAAACACCAAAAUGCAGGCUGAGAGAAAAGAGGCAGAGGUGAUAUAAAGGGAUGCAGCUGGGAAGGUGGUGAGAACUGCCAGCAUCAGAGCCACCUUGACCCCAGGUAGGAUGAUAGUUGUGCCUGUCACAGCAAGGAUGGGGUAACUUCUCUAGGGGGAACCUUGUCUUUGCCUUGCGGUACUGCCACUGCAUCUGCAGUGGCCUUCAGGAAGAGUGUUCAUUUUGGUCCAAAGAUGAACCUCCACCCUCCAGUCUUGUAAUCAACCCUCUGUCCUCAGCUGGGUUUCUGCAGUCCAGAAAAAGGGCUUGAUCUGCUCUUUGUUUGUGUCCUGCAACCUGGGCAGCCAAGAGAGGCACGAAGUAUCUCAGCUGGCUGUCUUAAAGGUGCCUGCUGUCAUUCAGGAGAGGCUAAGAGGACAUGGCUCCAUAAUGUCCACAGACAGUUCCAGCAAGUGCUUGAAGGAAUGUUUGCCUCAUUUUCUAGGACAUGAAUCUGAAAAACACUCACUGGAUAUUAAAAACAAUAAACAUUUGUUAGAUAAUAAAUCCCA